UACGUAGGAUCCAAGCGUUGUCCGGAUUUACUGGGUGUAAAGGGUGCGCAGGCGGACUGGUUAGUCUGGGGUGAAAUCUCAUCGCUUAACGGUGAAACUGCCUUAGAUACUGCCAGUCUUGAAUCAGCGAGAGAUAUGCGGAAUUCCGAGUGUAGCAGUGAAAUGUGUAGAUAUUCGGAAGAACACCAGUGGCGAAGGCGGUCUGCUGGGCAGUUGCUGACACUGAGGCGCGACAGCGUGGGGAGCAAACAGG
rnacentral:rRNA from 1 species